GCUAAGAGCCCUAAGUACCUUGAAGGCACCAGAUCCUGUUUGAUCUUGGAAGCUGAAUAGGAUAAUCUCUGGUUAGUUCUUGCAUGGGAGACUGUCAACAAAAAUACCAGAUACUGUAGGUU
rnacentral:rRNA from 11 species